UUCCAUUACCCCUUUAUUCCAACUUCCAAUUUCCCAAAAACUCCAUUGUCUUCCUUCCCCCAAAACUCAGCUCAGCUGCUCCUCUCCCUUUCACCGAGACUCUGCACUCGAUCAAUCUGUACCGCUCAAUCAACGUGAUCCAACGAUGGAGACCAACUGCAUGUCCUUGCUGUCGUGUGUGGGCACCAACGUCGCCUCCGCCUUCUUCGCCUCACUGGAACGCUGCUCCUGCAUCAAUCUCAACACCGCCGAUUUCGACGACGACAAU
rnacentral:lncRNA from 1 species